rnacentral:lncRNA from 1 species
AUGUGCUGUACGGCAAAGGACAAUGACUGUUUAUCGCCUCAAGCUCAGUUAGCCGCCCGGCCAGAGACUCAGUUAGCCGCCCGGCCAGAGGCUCAGUUAGUCGCCCGGCCAGAGGCUCAGUUAGUCGCCCGGCCAAAAGUCCAGUCGCCACCUCCACCACAUUCAGCCUCACAAUCCAUGGCUCAAUUACAGCCACAGCCAGACGUAUUACAAACCAUGUUACAAUCCCUAGCCCAGUCAGUAGCCCGGUUGGCAGAAGAAUCAUUAGCCUUAUCAUUCGUUCAGUCCCCAACUUCUCCACCAUUAUUGUCUCAACCUUUACUUCAGUCGCCCUCAGCUCAGCCACCUGUUCAGCCAUCAUCUUCACUGACUCCUCCUGUACAGCAAGCUAGGUUGAUUCAACCCGAGAGAAACCGUUGUUCACCCAUUCGUUCCAGGCAGAGAGAAAAACCAAACAAUCCUGUAGACAUUCCUCAAGAGCUGGCCAGUUCUGAGACUGAGAUACACUCCAGGGCCUCCCCAGAGGCUGGGUUUCAGCCCCCAGCAGACUCUGGACCCCUGGAGGUUAAGAAGCCAGCAGAGGACUGCACCCAGCCGUCGCUGCCUGAGCAGAGUCAAUGCUCUGUGCAGCUGCAGUCUGCUGUGUGUUUGCCAGAGGCCCGUGUGCCUGCUGGUUCUGUUUUGUCCCUGCCAGAGGCCCGUGUGCCUGCUGGUUCUGUUUUGUCCCUGCCAGAGGCCCGUGUGCCUGCUGGUCCUGUUCCGUCCCUGCCAGAGGCCCGUGUGCCUGCUGGUCCUGUUCCGUCCCUGCCAGGGGCCCCGGUGCCCACUGGUUCUGAGACUGUUUUAGCUGGGGGGCCCGAGGAGCCCGUCCAGCUUCCGUCCUCGUCAGCUGGGGGGCCCGAGGAGCCCGUCCAGCCUUCUGCCUCGUCAGCUGGGGGGCCGAGGAGCCCGUCCAGCUUCCGUCCUCGUCAGCUGGGGGCCCGAGGAGCCCGUCCAGCUUCCGUCCUCGUCAGCUGGGGGGCCCGAGGAGCCCGUCCAGCCUUCUGCCUUGUCAGCUGGGGGGCCCGAGGAGCCCGUCCAGCCUUCUGCUUCAUCAGCUGGAGGGCCCGAGGAGCCCAGCCAGCCUCCUGCCUCGUCAGCUGGAGGUUCAGGAGAACCUAG